rnacentral:rRNA from 1 species
AGCAGCCGCGGUAAUUCCAGCUCCAAUAGCGUAUAUUAAAGUUGUUGCAGUUAAAAAGCUCGUAGUUGAAUUUCGGGGUUCAUACAUUGGUCGGGCUAUUUGGUCUGUACUUAUGUAAUGGAUUCCUACCUUCUGAAUAACCGGCAUGUCAUUAAUUUGGUGCGCCGGGGAAGCAGGACUGUUACCUUGAAAAAAUUAGAGUGCUUAAAGCAGGCUAUCGCCUGAAUACAUUAGCAUGGAAUAAUGAAAUAGGACGGCAUGGUUCUAUUUUGCUGGUUUCUAGGAUCACCGUAAUGAUUAAUAGGGAUAGUUGGGGCAUUAGUAUUCAAUUGUCAGAGGUGAAAUUCUUGGAUUUAUUGAAGACUAACUU